AUUGAACGCUGGCGGCAGGCCUAACACAUGCAAGUCGAACGAGCGGCGGACGGGUGAGUAAUGUCUGGGAAACUGCCUGAUGGAGGGGUCUCACUACUGGACACGGUAGCUACUACCGCAUUCCAUCAGCUUUGCCCAGAUGGGCUUAGCUAGUAGGUGGGGUAAGGGCUCACCUAGGCGACGAUCCCUAGCUGGUCUGAGAGGAUGACCAGCCACACGUGAACUGAGACACGGUCAAGACUCCUACGGGAGGCAGCAGUGGGGAAUAUUGCACAAUGGGCGCAAGCCUGAUGCAGCCAUGCCGCGUGUGUGAAGAAGGCCUUCGGGUUGUAAAGCACUUUCAGCGAGGAGGCGUUACUCGCAGAAGAAGCACCGGCGAACUCCGUGCCAGCAGCCGCGGUAAUAC
rnacentral:rRNA from 1 species